GGAGCCGGCAAGCAGGGAGCCGGACAGGAAGAGCCGCGAAGGAGCCCGGGGAGCAGGAGCCGACGCGGGAAGGCCGAGCGAAAACGAGGACAGGGCCGGACGGGACCGAAGGAGAAGGAGCAGGAGCCGGCAGCCGCGCGCACGAACCAGGGAGGAGGAGAGGCAGGAGCGCAGCAGAGCGGCAAAGAGCGGCAAAAGCACGCAGAGCCGGGGGCAACCCCAGGGAGCCGGGGGAGCCCCAGGGGCCGCCAGCAGCGCACGAGGAGCCGGAGAGAGGCACGGCGGGGGACCAGGACCCACGCCGGGGCGGACAACCGCAGCGGACGGGCGAGACCAGGAGCCGACGGAGAAGGGGAGACGGACCAGACAGCCGGGCGAAGGGGCGAACGGGGCACGGGAGCGAAGGGGGACAGGGCAGGGCACGAAGGGGGAGAGGCGCCAGGAAGGGCCAGACGCCAGGGACAGACGAGCCGGGGGGCCGGGCCCCCAGGGAGCC
rnacentral:lncRNA from 1 species